rnacentral:rRNA from 1 species
GAUGAACGCUGGCGGCGUGCUUAACACAUGCAAGUCGAACGAUGAAGCCCAGCUUGCUGGGUGGAUUCGUGGCGAACGGGUGAGUAACACGUGAGUAACCUGCCCUUAACUCUGGGAUAAGCCUGGGAAACUGGGUCUAAUACCGGAUAGGAGCGUCCACCGCAUGGUGGGUGUUGGAAAGAUUUAUCGGUUUUGGCUGGACUCGCGGCUUAUCAGCUUGUUGGUGAGGUAUUGGCUCACCAAGGCGCCGACGGGUAGCCGGCAUGUGAGGGUGACCGGCCACACUGGGACUGAGAGACGGCCCAGACUCGUACGGGAGGCAGCAGUGGGGAAUAUUGCACAAUGGGCGCAAGCCUGAUGCAGCGACGCCGCGUGAGGGAUGACGGCCUUCGGGUUGUAAACCGCUUUCAGUAGAGAAGAAGCGAAAGUGACGGUACCUGCAGAAGAAGCACCGGCUAACUACGUG